rnacentral:rRNA from 1 species
UUCUCAACGAUGGAUAUCUUGGUUCCCAUAACGAUGAAGAACGCAGCGAAGUGCGAUAAGCAGUGCGAAUUGCAGACCCGUGAGUCAUCAGAUCUUUGAACGCAAAUGGCGCCG